rnacentral:lncRNA from 1 species
AUGGUUCCUUUCCUGCAGACCGCGAGGCCGUCCCCGCUCGGCCUCCCCGGCUGCCUCCUUCCCCUCUCACAGCUCCAACACCUCUGGCAGGGGAGCGCUCGGCCUCCCGCGGCCCCGUCCCUCCCCGAGCCCCCGCGUUACAAGGUUUGCUCAAGCGCUGGUGGGUUUCAAGUGAUUUGGGAGACGCGGGAAGGGGGAACCGCGGCGUCCCCAGCUUGCUGCUCGUCAGCAGGCGGCCUCGGCACCCGGCUCCCCCCGUUUUACAGCGCAACCCCUCUGCUCCCCCCCCAGUGCCACUGCCUGCAGCCGCGCUGUGCCCACAGCGGGGAUCGCAAGGCCCGAGGAGCAGGAGGCGUACAACAGCGGAGGAACAGCAAUACUGGUGUGGAGCCUCACGGCGGGGCUGCCUCUCGCCCCCCGAGGGGGGCACGCAGGACGGGAACACAAGUUUUAGCAGAAAGGAUGCCGCCUCCGCGCUCGGCUCCCGCGGGAGCCCCGUGGGUGAAGGCCCUGAAGAUGAAACCUCUGCAGGGAGCAGCAGCUCCCCACACCCGCCGCAAGGGCUGCGGACCCCAGACCCGCUGCAGCACCCAUCUCCCAAAUCCUCCUAGCCCAGCGGACGGGCUUGAGCCACCUCGGGGCUGGAGGUGGAUGAAGGAAGCCUGGCCCAGCAAGGAGGUGGGACGCAGCUGCUCCAGGCGGAGGUGCUGGGGAAGAGGGGGCGAGAUGAAGGAUGCUGGCAGCGAGCUGCCGAGCACCGAGCAGAAGGCACGGGAGGGUGAAGCGUGCACGGAAGAGCCCCAGGACAGGCCCUGCCCCUCCAAUUCAGUGCUCAGCUCCCGCAGCACGAGUUGGAGGGGGUGUUCCUGUGCUCUCAUCACUCGUCCACCCCCCUGGUUCCGGGGCGCCGGCCUGAAAAUGGUUUUGGAGCUGCUAGAAAUGAAGCUGGACCCUGAGAGCAGCAGGGAGCAGGGGCUCAGCAGUCAUGGACAAGAGCGGAGAGAAGGGGCUGGGCUGGGACCUGCAGAGCCCCGGGGGACAGGAGAGGGGGUUGCAUAG